rnacentral:lncRNA from 1 species
UAUGUCAGUAAUGUCAGUGUGUGACAAGGCAAAAGUGUGCAAAAACACAGCUAGUGAAUUGAGGCAAGAAACUUCAUGUCAGAGAUUUGCUUCAGGGCUUCCGACUACAGAGGCUUUGCUCCAGAAAGAGCACUGAUUCUCAACUCUAGAAGUCAGAAAUUUGUAUUUUCAUAUGUAAUGUGGGCAACUAAUAUACAUUAAGUGGCACAACAACGCCUCUGCAGAACAGACGUGGUCUUUUGCUUCUAAGACUUGCCAGUCUCAUCACAUCUAAAGAAGGAGGCUGCCUAUGGGGAGAGGCGUGGCCAGAAGAAAGCAUAAAGAAUGGAGGGUGAACAGAGGCGAACAGAGGGCCCGGAUCUGUAGUACUGUGGUACCGAGUGUGAAGAGCAGAAGAAUCCACUCCACACGGCAGAUAUCCCUGAAUGGCAUUCCCUUCCCCAACUAUGGACAUGACCUGGGGCAGAUCUGAAAGCUUUUCUUAAGACUUUGAGGUAUUUUCACACAGUCUUGUCUUCACGACUUAAAAAGUUUAAUUUGAUCAAAAUAAAAACUUUAAUCCCUCAUUGAAUGUAAGCUCU